GACGAACGCUGGCGGCGCGCCUAAUACAUGCAAGUCGAGCGAGAACCAGGGCUUCGGCCCUGGGGACAGCGGCGAACGGGUGCGUAACACGUGAGCAACCUGCCCCGAAGACCGGGACAAGCCGGGGAAACCUGGUCUAAUACCGGAUGUCCUCUUCGCAUCGCAUGGUGUGAUGAGGAAAUGGAUUCCGCUUCGGGAUGGGCUCGCGGUCUAUCAGCUUGUUGGGGGGGUAACGGCCUACCAAGGCGACGACGGAUAGCUGGUCUGAGAGGACGACCAGCCACAGGGGGACUGAGACACGGCCCAGACUCCUACGGGAGGCAGUAGUAGGGAGUCGUGCGCAAGGGGGGAAACCGGGUAGCAGCGACGCCGCGUGCGGGAUGGAGGCCUUCGGGUUGUAAACCGCUUUCAGCAGGGACGAAAUUGACGGUACCUGCAGAAGAAGGCCCGGCCAACUACUUGCCAGCCGGCGCUGUAACAC
rnacentral:rRNA from 1 species